AUUGAACGCUGUCGGCAGGCCUAACACAUGCAAGUCGAACGAGUGGCGGACGGGUGAGUCAUGUCUGGGAAACUGCCUGAUGGAGGGGGAUACAUACUGGAAACGGUAGCUAAUACCGCAUACCAUCCGAUGGGCCCAGAUGGGAUUAGCUUGGUGGGGUGGUAACGGCUCACCACGGCGACGGUCCCUAGCUGGUCUGAUAGGGUGACCAGCCACACUGGAACUGAGACACGGUCCAGACUCCGACGGGAGGCAGCAGUGGGGAAUAUUGCACAAUGUGCGCAAGCCUGAUGCAGCCAUGCCGCGUGUAUGAAGAAGGCCGUCGGGUUGUAAAGUACUUUCAGCGGGGAGGCGUUACCCGCAGAAGAAGCACCGGCUAACUCCGUGCCAGCAGCCGCGGUAAUAC
rnacentral:rRNA from 1 species